AUGAACGCUAGCGACAGGCUUAACACAUGCAAGUCAGGGGUAACAGGGUAGCAAUACCGCUGACGACCGGCGCACGGGUGAGUAACGCGUAUGCAACCCUGCCUAUAACUGUGGAAUAGCUACCCUGAAAGGGGGAAUUAACACCGCAUAACACUAUUGAUUCGCAUGGAUUGGUAGUUAAAUGUAGCGAUACAGGUUAUAGAUGGGCAUGCGUGACAUUAGCUAGUUGGUGAGGUAACGGCUCACCAAGGCUACGAUGUCUAGGGGUUCUGAGAGGAAGGUCCCCCCACACUGGUACUGAGACACGGACCAGACUCCUACGGGAGGCAGCAGUGAGGAAUAUUGGUCAAUGGGCGCAAGCCUGAACCAGCCAUGUCGCGUGCAGGAAGAACCUGCCCUAUGGGUUGUAAACUGCUUUUAUAGUAGAAGAAACACGUCUACGUGUAGAUGUCUGCCAGUAUACUAUGAAUAAGCAUCGGCUAACUCCGUGCCAGCCGCUGC
rnacentral:rRNA from 1 species